rnacentral:rRNA from 1 species
UACAGAGGUCUCAAGCGUUGUUCGGAUUUAUUGGGCGUAAAGGGUGCGUAGGCGGUGCGGUAAGUCGGGUGUGAAAUCUCGGGGCUUAACUCCGAAACUGCAUUCGAUACUGCCGUGCUUGAGGACUGGAGAGGAGACUGGAAUUUACGGUGUAGCGGUGAAAUGCGUAGAUAUCGUAAGGAAGACCAGUGGCGAAGGCGGGUCUCUGGACAGUUCCUGACGCUGAGGCACGAAGGCCAGGGGAGCAAACGGG